rnacentral:rRNA from 1 species
CCUACGGGAGGCAGCAGUGGGGAAUUUUGGACAAUGGGCGCAAGCCUGAUCCAGCCAUGCCGCGUGCGGGAAGAAGGCCUUCGGGUUGUAAACCGCUUUUGUCAGGGAAGAAACGCUCCGGGCUAAUACCCUGGGGUAAUGACGGUACCUGAAGAAUAAGCACCGGCUAACUACGUGCCAGCAGCCGCGGUAAUACGUAGGGUGCAAGCGUUAAUCGGAAUUACUGGGCGUGAAGCGUGCGCAGGCGGUCUUGCAAGACAGAUGUGAAAUCCCCGGGCUCAACCUGGGAACUGCAUUUGUGACUGCAAGGCUAGAGUACGGUAGAGGGGGAUGGAAUUCCGCGUGUAGCAGUGAAAUGCGUAGAUAUGCGGAGGAACACCGAUGGCGAAGGCAAUCCCCUGGACCUGUACUGACGCUCAUGCACGAAAGCGUGGGGAGCAAACAGGAUUAGAUACCCUGGUAGUCCACGCCCUAAACGAUGUCAACUGGUUGUUGGGAAGGUUCCUUCUCAGUAACGUAGCUAACGCGUGAAGUUGACCGCCUGGGGAUACGGCCGCAAGGUUGAAACUUAAGGAAUUGACCGGNNGAGACGUGCGAGGACGACGACGAGGGAGAGG